AGGACUGUGGUAUAGUGGUAUUACCACUCGCCACCCUAAUGACCUCUCGCAAGAGAGUCGUUUUCUACUCAGGCGAGAAGAUCUGGGUUCGAAUCCUAGCGGUCCUA